UACGUAGGGGGCAAGCGUUGUCCGGAUUUAUUGGGCGUAAAGAGCGCGUAGGCGGCCAGGUAGGUCAGCUGUGAAAACUCGAGGCUCAACCUCGAGACGUCGGUUGAAACCAUCUGGCUAGAGUCCGGAAGAGGAGAGUGGAAUUCCUGGUGUAGCGGUGAAAUGCGCAGAUAUCAGGAAGAACACCCGUGGCGAAGGCGGCUCACUGGCCCGGUACUGACGCUGAGGUGCGAAAGCGUGGGGAGCAAACAGG
rnacentral:rRNA from 1 species